UAACGUCAGCGGCAGACGGGUGAGUAACGCGUGGGAACAUACCUUUUGGUUCGGAACAACACAGGGAAACUUGUGCUAAUACCGGAUAAGCCCUUACGGGGAAAGAUUUAUCGCCGAAAGAUUGGCCCGCGUCUGAUUAGCUAGUUGGUGAGGUAACGGCUCACCAAGGCGACGAUCAGUAGCUGGUCUGAGAGGAUGGUCAGCCACACUGGGACUGAGACACGGCCCAG
rnacentral:rRNA from 1 species